rnacentral:misc_RNA from 1 species
UUUCCGUAGGUGAACCUGCGGAAGGAUCAUUAAAGAGUUAGGGUCCUUUGGGCCCGACCUCCCAACCCUUUGUUUACUGAACCUCUGUUGCUUCGGCGGACCCGCCUCACGGCCGCCGGAGGACCGCCCCCAGGCGUCCUCUGGCCAGCGUCCGCCGAUAGCCACUCUCAAAACUCUUGAAUAAAUCAUGUUAUUGUCUAAGUCUAUGAUGCAAAUCAAUAAAGCAAAACUUUCAACAACGGAUCUCUUGGUUCUGGCAUCGAUGAAGAACGCAGC